rnacentral:rRNA from 1 species
AGAUUGCAGGCUGCAACUCGCCUGCAUGAAGUCGGAAUUGCUAAUAAUCGUAGGUCAGCAUACUACGGUGAAUACGUUCCCGGGCCUUGUACACACCGCCCGUCAAACCAUGAGAGUUGGCAACACCCGAAGUCGGUAGUCUAACCGCAAGGAGGACGCCGCCGAAGGUGGGGUUGAUGAUUAGGGUUAAGUCGUAACAAGGUAAC